rnacentral:rRNA from 1 species
GAGUUUGAUCCUGGCUCAGGACGAACGCUGGCGGCGUGCCUAACACAUGCAAGUCGAACGAAGCACCUUUUGAGAUUCUUCGGAUGAUCGAUCGGUGACUGAGUGGCGGACGGGUGAGUAACGCGUGAGUAACCUGCCCUAGAGUGGGGGACAACAGUUGGAAACGACUGCUAAUACCGCAUAAGCCCACGGUACCGCAUGGUACUGAGGGAAAAGGAUUUAUUCGCUUUAGGAUGGACUCGCGUCCAAUUAGCUAGUUGGUGAGGUAACGGCCCACCAAGGCGACGAUUGGUAGCCGGACUGAGAGGUUGAACGGCCACAUUGGGACUGAGACACGGCCCAGACUCCUACGGGAGGCAGCAGUGGGGGAUAUUGCACAAUGGGGGAAACCCUGAUGCAGCGACGCCGCGUGGAGGAAGAAGGUUUUCGGAUUGUAAACUCCUGUCGUUAGGGACGAUAAUGACGGUACCUAACAAGAAAGCACCGGCUAACUACGUGCCAGCAGCCGCGGUAAUUC